rnacentral:rRNA from 1 species
AGAGUUUGAUCCUGGCUCAGGACGAACGCUGGCGGCGUGCCUAACACAUGCAAGUCGAACGAGGUCGCCUUCGGGCAAUGACCAAGUGGCGAACGGGUGCGUAACACGUGAGGAACCUGCCCCGAAGACUGGGACAACCACGGGAAACUGUGGCUAAUACCAGAUGCCCUCCGCUGAUCGCAUGAUCGGCAGAGGAAAUGCUCCGGCGCUUCGGGAGGGCCUCGCGGCCUAUCAGCUUGUUGGCGAGGUAACGGCUCACCAAGGCAUCGACGGGUAGCUGGUCUGAGAGGACGAUCAGCCACACUGGGACUGAGACACGGCCCAGACUCCUGCGGGAGGCAGCAGUGGGGAAUCUUGCGCAAUGGGCGAAAGCCUGACGCAGCAACGCCGCGUGGGGGAUGAAGGCUCUCGGGUUGUAAACCCCUUUCAGCAGGGACGAAAUUGACGGUACCUGAAGAAGAAGCCCCGGCCAACUACGUGCCAGCAGCCGCGGUGACACGUAGGGGGCGAGCGUUGUCCGGAAUUAUUGGGCGUAAAGAGCUCGUAGGCGG